rnacentral:rRNA from 1 species
UACGUAGGGCGCAAGCGUUGUCCGGAAUUAUUGGGCGUAAAGGGCGCGUAGGCGGUGCGGUAAGUCACCUGUGAAACCCCGGGCUUAACCUGGGAACUGCAUUUGUGACUGGCAGCUAGAGUAUGGCAGAGGGGGGUAGAAUUCCACGUGUAGCAGUGAAAUGCGUAGAGAUGUGGAGGAGUACCGAUGGCGAAGGCAGCCCCUGGGCCAAUACUGACGCUCAUGCACGAAAGCGUGGGGAGCAAACAGG